GACGAACGCUGGCGGCGUGCUUAACACAUGCAAGUCGAACGAUGAAGCCGGAGCUUGCUCUGGUGAAUUAGUGGCGAACGGGUGAGUAACACGUGAGUAACCUGCCCUUGACUCUGGGAUAACUGCGGGAAACUGUAGCUAAUACCGGAUACGACCCUCGGAGGCAUCUCCUGGGGGUGGAAAGAAUUUCGGUCAAGGAUGGACUCGCGGCCUAUCAGCUAGUUGGUGAGGUAAAGGCUCACCAAGGCGACGACGGGUAGCCGGCCUGAGAGGGACCGGCCCCACUGGGACUGAGACACGGCCCAGACUCCUACGGGAGGCAGCAGUGGGGAAUAUUGCACAAUGGGCGCAAGCCUGAUGCAGCAACGCCGCGUGAGGGAUGACGGCCUUCGGGUUGUAAACCUCUUUUAGCAGGGAAGAAGCGAAAGUGACGGUACCUGCAGAAAAAGCACCGGCUAACUACGUGCCAGCCGCCGCGGUAA
rnacentral:rRNA from 1 species